rnacentral:rRNA from 1 species
GAUCACCGAAGUCAAGCAUCAUUGGGCGCGGUCAGUACUUGGGUGGGUGACCACCUGGGAACACCGCGUGCCGUU